AGAGGAUUGGUGUAAUGGUAGCAUGACGGUCUCCAAAACCGUUCUUCAAGGUUCGAGUCCUUGAUCCUCUGCCA
rnacentral:tRNA from 1 species